UACGAAUGGGGCAAGCGUUGUUCGGAAUCACUGGGCUUAAAGCGUGCGUAGGCGGUUAUGAAAGUCAGAAGUGAAAUCCCCGGGCUUAACCCGGGAAUUGCUUUUGAAACUCCAUAACUAGAAUCCGGUAGAGGUCAGGAGAAUUCCUAGUGUAGAGGUGAAAUUCGCAGAUAUUAGGAGGAAUACCAGUGGCGUAGGCGCCUGACUGGGCCGGUAUUGACGCUGAGGUACGAAAGCGUGGGUAGCAAACAGGAUUAGAUACCCUGGUAGUCCACGCCCUAAACGAUGUGUGCUAGCUGUCGGGCCCUUAGGGUCCGGUAGCGGAGCGAAAGUAUUAAGCACACCGCCUGGGGAGUACGGUCGCAAGAUUAAA
rnacentral:rRNA from 1 species